AGUGAACGCUGGCGGUAGGCCUAACACAUGCAAGUCGAACGGCAGCACAGUAAGAGCUUGCUCUUACGGGUGGCGAGUGGCGGACGGGUGAGGAAUACAUCGGAACCUACUUUUUCGUGGGGGAUAACGUAGGGAAACUUACGCUAAUACCGCAUACGACCUACGGGUGAAAGCAGGGGAUCUUCGGACCUUGCGCGUUUGAAUGAGCCGAUGUCGGAUUAGCUAGUUGGCGGGGUAAAGGCCCACCAAGGCGACGAUCCGUAGCUGGUCUGGGAGGAUGAUCAGCCACACUGGAACUGAGACACGGUCCAGACUCCUACGGGAGGCAGCAGUGGGGAAUAUUGGACAAUGGGCGCAAGCCUGAUCCAGCCAUACCGCGUGGGUGAAGAAGGCCUUCGGGUUGUAAAGCCCUUUUGUUGGGAAAGAAAAGCAGCAGGUUAAUACCCCGCUGUUCUGACGGUACCCAAAGAAUAAGCACCGGCUAACUUCGUG
rnacentral:rRNA from 1 species